UACGAAGGGGGCGAGCGUUGUUCGGAUUUACUGGGCGUAAAGGGCGCGCAGGCGGCGCAUUUUGUCAGGCGUGAAAGCCCCGGGCUUAACCUGGGACUGCGUUUGAUACGGAUGGGCUAGAGUUCGGGAGAGGAGAGUGGAACUGCGAGUGUAAAGGUGAAAUUCGUAGAUAUUCGCAAGAACACCGGUGGCGAAGACGGGUCUCUGGGCCGAUACUGACGCUGAGGAGCGAAAGCGUGGGGAGCGAACAGG
rnacentral:rRNA from 1 species